UUGAACGCUGGCGGCAGGCCUAGCACAUGCAAGUCGAGCGGUAACACAGAGAGCUUGCUCUCGGGUGACGAGCGGCGGACGGGUGAGUAAUGUCUGGGAAACUGCCUGAUGGAGGGGGAUAACUACUGGAAACGGUAGCUAAUACCGCAUAACGUCGCAAGACCAAAGUGGGGGACCUUCGGGCCUCAUGCCAUCAGAUGUGCCCAGAUGGGAUUAGCUAGUAGGUGGGGUAACGGCUCACCUAGGCGACGAUCCCUAGCUGGUCUGAGAGGAUGACCAGCCACACUGGAACUGAGACACGGUCCAGACUCCUACGGGAGGCAGCAGUGGGGAAUAUUGCACAAUGGGCGCAAGCCUGAUGCAGCCAUGCCGCGUGUGUGAAGAAGGCCUUCGGGUUGUAAAGCACUUUCAGCGGGGAGGAAGGCGGUGAGGUUAAUAACCUCAUCGAUUGACGUUACCCGCAGAAGAAGCACCGGCUAACUCCGUGCCAGCAGCCGCGGUAAUACGGAGGGUGCAAGCGUUAAUCGGAAUUACUGGGCGUAAAGCGCACGCAGGCGGUCUGUCAAGUCGGAUGUGAAAUCCCCGGGCUCAACCUGGGAACUGCAUUCGAAACUGGCAGGCUAGAGUCUUGUAGAGGGGGGUAGAAUUCCAGGUGUAGCGGUGAAAUGCGUAGAGAUCUGGAGGAAUACCGGUGGCGAAGGCGGCCCCCUGGACAAAGACUGACGCUCAGGUGCGAAAGCGUGGGGAGCAAACAGGAUUAGAUACCCUGGUAGUCCACGCCGUAAACGAUGUCGAUUUGGAGGUUGUGCCCUUGAGGCGUGGCUUCCGGAGCUAACGCGUUAAAUCGACCGCCUGGGGAGUACGGCCGCAAGGUUAAAACUCAAAUGAAUUGACGGGGGCCCGCACAAGCGGUGGAGCAUGUGGUUUAAUUCGAUGCAACGCGAAGAACCUUACCUGGUCUUGACAUCCACAGAACUUUCCAGAGAUGGAUUGGUGCCUUCGGGAACUGUGAGACAGGUGCUGCAUGGCUGUCGUCAGCUCGUGUUGUGAAAUGUUGGGUUAAGUCCCGCAACGAGCGCAACCCUUAUCCUUUGUUGCCAGCGGUUAGGCCGGGAACUCAAAGGAGACUGCCAGUGAUAAACUGGAGGAAGGUGGGAUGACGUCAAGUCAUCAUGGCCCUUACGACCAGGGCUACACACGUGCUACAAUGGCAUAUACAAAGAGAAGCGACCUCGCGAGAGCAAGCGGACCUCAUAAAGUAUGUCGUAGUCCGGAUUGGAGUCUGCAACUCGACUCCAUGAAGUCGGAAUCGCUAGUAAUCGUAGAUCAGAAUGCUACGGUGAAUACGUUCCCGGGCCUUGUACACACCGCCCGUCACACCAUGGGAGUGGGUUGCAAAAGAAGUAGGUAGCUUAACCUUCGGGAGGGCGCUUACCACUUUGUGAUUCAUGACUGGGGUG
rnacentral:rRNA from 1 species